rnacentral:misc_RNA from 1 species
AAGUCGUAACAAGGUUUCCGUAGGCGAACCAGCGGAGGGAUCAUUACUGAGUCGUAAAAACUCCCAAACCCAUGUGAACUUACCUAUGUUGCCUCGGCAGGACCUACCCGGUACCUACCCUGUAGCUACCCUGUAGCCUGCCGGUGGACAUCUCAACUCUUGUUAUUUUAUGGAAAUCUGAACGCCUUAUUAAAUAAGUCAAAA